UCACUGAUGUCAUCUUGUCCCCAAAAACUCUGCUCCAUGUUUCUUGCUCAUAUCUAAAGUCCCGUUUGAGCCACUGGACAUCCAGAUUAUCAGCUGCUCCCACACAUGGCAGGUCCACUGGUUCUCCAAGUCUCACUUCAAUAAGUCUCACAUCUAUUGAAGUACAAACAGUAAUAGUGAAGUUGUUCUCAUGCGUCACGUUGCCCUCAGUCCAACACUCCUCUCGGUACGGGCCGGAGUCUGAAUGGGUCAGGUCGAGGAUGGUGUAAGAAGUUCUCCAGACUGUCAUG